UGGGGGAUAUUGCACAAUGGGCGCAAGCCUGAUGCAGCGACGCCGCGUGAGGGAUGACGGCUUUCGGGUUGUAAACCUCUUUUACUAUUGAACAAGGCGCCAUAUUGGUGGUGUUGAGGGUAGGUGGUGAAUAAGCGCCGGCUAACUACGUGCCAGCAGCCGCGGUAAUACGUAGGGCGCGAGCGUUGUCCGGAAUUAUUGGGCGUAAAGAGCUCGUAGGCGGCUUGUCGCGUCUGCUGUGAAAUCCUGGGGCUUAACUCUGGGCGUGCAGUGGGUACGGGCAGGCUAGAGUGCGGUAGGGGUGAUUGGAAUUCCUGGUGUAGCGGUGGAAUGCGCAGAUAUCAGGAGGAACACCGAUGGCGAAGGCAGGUCACUGGGCCGUUACUGACGCUGAGGAGCGAAAGCAUGGGGAGCGAACAGG
rnacentral:rRNA from 1 species